CCCACCGUUGACGUCCGGAACCGCGACAACCGUCAUCAAAACCGUCACAUCUACGACAACUAGCACCACCACCACUACUCCUCCAUUCACAGACGACGCUGGAUCGGACCUACCAACCUUUGGAUACAUCACGACAUACUCGACAAGCGAUAGCGCUCUAGUUGACAAUUUGAAAGUUAUGUGGUACCCCCUUGUUGGCGUGCUGAGCGGAGGAUGGCUAAUUUUUACCCUCGUCAUCGGGGUUGUG